AUUGAACGCUGGCGGCAUGCCUUACACAUGCAAGUCGAACGGUAACAGGUCUUCGGAUGCUGACGAGUGGCGAACGGGUGAGUAAUACAUCGGAACGUGCCCGAUCGUGGGGGAUAACGAGGCGAAAGCUUUGCUAAUACCGCAUACGAUCUACGGAUGAAAGCGGGGGAUCUUCGGACCUCGCGCGGACGGAGCGGCCGAUGGCAGGUUCGGUAGUUGGUGGGAUAAAAGCUUACCAAGCCGACGAUCUGUAGCUGGGCUGAGAGGAUGAUCAGCCACACUGGGACUGAGACACGGCCCAGACUCCUACGGGAGGCAGCAGUGGGGAAUUUUGGACAAUGGGCGAAAGCCUGAUCCAGCCAUGCCGCGUGCAGGAUGAAGGCCUUCGGGUUGUAAACUGCUUUUGUACGGAACCAAAAGCCUCUUUCUAAUAAAGAGGGGUCAUGACGGUACCGUAAGAAUAAGCACCGGCUAACUACGUG
rnacentral:rRNA from 1 species